rnacentral:rRNA from 1 species
UACGAAGGGUGCAAGCGUUACUCGGAAUUACUGGGCGUAAAGCGUGCGUAGGUGGUUUGUUAAGUCUGAUGUGAAAGCCCUGGGCUCAACCUGGGAAUUGCAUUGGAUACUGGCAGGCUAGAGUGCGGUAGAGGAUGGCGGUAUUCCCGGUGUAGCAGUGAAAUGCGUAGAGAUCGGGAGGAACAUCUGUGGCGAAGGCGGCCAUCUGGACCAGCACUGACACUGAGGCACGAAAGCGUGGGGAGCAAACAGG